rnacentral:rRNA from 1 species
UACGAAGGGGGCGAGCGUUGUUCGGAAUUACUGGGCGUAAAGGGCGCGCAGGCGGUCCUUCAAGUCAGAUGUGAAAGCCCCGGGCUCAACCUGGGAACUGCAUUUGAGACUGGAGGACUUGAGGACGGGAGAGGAGAGUGGAAUUCCCAGUGUAGAGGUGAAAUUCGUAGAUAUCGGGAGGAACACCAGUGGCGAAGGCGACUUCCUGGCCUGUUCUUGACGCUGAGGCGCGAAAGCUAGGGGAGCAAACGGG